AGCACCGGCUAACUCCGUGCCAGCAGCCGCGGUAAUACGGAGGGUGCGAGCGUUAAUCGGAAUUACUGGGCGUAAAGGGUGCGUAGGUGGUUGAUUAAGUUAUCUGUGAAAUUCCUGGGCUUAACCUGGGACGGUCAGAUAAUACUGGUUGACUCGAGUAUGGGAGAGGGUAGUGGAAUUUCCGGUGUAGCGGUGAAAUGCGUAGAGAUCGGAAGGAACACCAGUGGCGAAGGCGGCUACCUGGCCUAAUACUGACACUGAGGCACGAAAGCGUGGGGAGCAAACAGGAUUAGAUACCCUGGUAGUCCACGCUGUAAACGAUGUCAACUAGCUGUG
rnacentral:rRNA from 1 species